UUCACCUCCCAGCCAUUUUGCAGGGUGGCUAUCAAUAGAUUGGUCUAAAAGGAAGAACAAAGAAAAGGGCACCAAAGAAGAUAAAUGAAAAUACAAGGGCAUAAGCUGAACUGUGGACAUCCUGCCACUGGGAAUUAAGUUAAAGUAGAAAAAAACACAGAAUGUAAUGGGGACUCCACUCACAAGAAGAAUUUGGAUCAAAGCGUGGCAGUGAGGGGAAGCAUUGAGCAGUGCCCAUUUCAAAUGAAGCCCGACUUGAUCCUGAACAUAACCUACAAGAAGAAAAGGACCGCAGGCUAUACACAAAGCAUGGUGUCAGCAUCUACUUCUGAUGAGGGCCUCAGGAAACUUACAAUCGUGAUGGAAGGAGAAGAGGAAGCCAGUGCAUCACAUAGCAAGAAAGGGAGCAAGAGAGAAGGGGACAGUGCAACACACUUAAAAAAAAAUAAGCCUUAUCUCACGAGACAGAACUAACUGAGUGAGAGUUCACUAAUCACCAAGGGAAUGAUGCUAAGUCAUUCAUGAGGGAUCCGCCCCCAUGAUCCAGUCACCUCUCACCAGACCCCACCUCCAACACUGGGGAUUAUAUUUCAGCAUGAGACUUGGAGGGCACAAACAUCCAAACCAUAUCAGUCUUCAACCCCUCUUCCUGACAUACAACUCCUAAAUCUCUUAGAAUUUCCAGAGUGCUGUCUUUUUAUGUGUUAAUGAAGUGGCUAGUGGCUCACAGCCCCUAGGAAGCUUCAGGAUGGGGGCUGGUCACUGGAAAGACCAAGUCAUAAUUAGAGGGUUGGGACUUUCAGCCCACCCCCAACCUCUGGGGAGGAGAGAGGGGCCAAAGCUCAAGUUGAUCACCAGUGGCCAGGGUUUUAAUUAAUCAUGUGGCCGGGUGCGGUGGCUCACGCCUGUAAUUCCAGCACUUUGGGAGGCCAAGGCAGGCGGAUCACGAGGUCAGGAGAUGAAGACCAUCCUGGCUAAAACAGUGAAACCCUGUCUCUACUAAAAAUACAAAAAAUUAGCCGGGUGUGGUGGCACACACCUGUAGUCCCAGCUACUCAGGAGGCUGAGGCAGGAGAAUCACUUGAACCUGGGAGGCAGAGGUUACAGUGAGCGGAGAUCGCACCACUGCACUCCAACCUGGGCAACAGAACGAUACUCCGUCUCAAAAAAAGUAAAAAUAAUAAAAUAAGUAAAAAAGAAUUAAUCAUGCCUAUGUAAUUAAGCCUCCAUAAAAACACAAAAGAAUAGGGUUCAGAGAGCCUCUGGAUAGCUGAACAUCUGGAGGCUCCUAGACAGUGGCAUGUCCAGAGGGCAUGAAAGCUCUGUGCCCCUUUUUUGCCCUAUGCAUCUCAUCAUCUGUAUGCUUGGUAAUAUCCUUUAUGAUAUACCAGUUAAAUGUAAGUGUUUCUCUGAGUUCCUUGAGCCACUCUAGCAAAUCAAUGGACCCCAAAGACAGGAUCGUAGGAAUCCCAACUUGCAGUCAGUUGGUCGGAAGUUCUGAGGCCCAGACUUGCGACUGGUAGGAAGUACGGGCAGCUUUGUGAGACUGAGCCCUCCCUCAA